rnacentral:lncRNA from 1 species
UUAAAAUUGAAUACAAGUUUCUUGUUGUGUGUUUUCCUGCCGUGGUGCUCUGUAUAAUUCAUGUAUCAAUUUCUGGCAGUGUAAAGUUUCUGUUUCUUUGAGUGCUACACUUUGUGGAUCCAAGAAAUUACUCUUCCACACAAUGGAUCCUAUAAUAAUUCUCUUGGACACUAGCCUUGAUAUGAAAGUACAAAGGAGAAAUGCUCAAGAAGAUUUCAAGUGUAGCAGUAGGAGCAGUUCUCAUAAGCAAGCAUUCUUUGAAUUUUUUCAAGUUCAAGUAUGUCUUUAAUAGAACUCUCUGCAACCAAAUGAUAAGUAAUAAUAGAUGUCACAAUUAUUUGUGCACAAUAGACCUGCGUUGGUCGUGGUGCUUGGGCUGGCAGGCUCCUCCCUUUCUACUAACUAACUAACUGUCACAAUUAUUAUGUAUAUCCAAUAAGAAUAACCUUGAUUUCAAUCCCCACAUCUUAUUCAAAAUGCCUCUACAAGCCUAUAAAGCUUUACAUAACUUCAUUACAACAUAGUCUGUACAGUCAUACUUCAUCUUACAUCAUUAAUUCGUUUCAAGACUCAGACUCAAGUGAAAAACAAUAUAAGUCAAAUAAACUCAAAAAAUGACUUAGACCCCCUAUAAAUAAUCCCAUAAUGUCGCUAAUAAUGUUUUAAAGCUUCUAAAUAAUUCUAAAAAU